AGUAACCAUGAUGAUUUCGAAUCAUUGAUACCUUUGUGCUCAAAUUGAAGUAUGUCUGCUGUUUUAUUAUGCCUAAGAGACUCAAUUUAUGACAUAUUCUAUAAGAUGAUCUGAGCUACAAAUUUUUUAAUGAAGAAUAAUUUGGACAGUAAGGAAAGGAAUGAAAAACUGAAGAAAAACAUUAUUAAAAUAAAAAUAAAAUACUGUGGACUCUACCAAAAUCACUACUGGUCUUUAGUUAAGUCAUCACUAGCAGUGAUGCUUUCCAUUUUUUCGGUGAAAUUCCAAGAAGUACGCAGAUUGAGGACUUGAAAUCAACCAAGUUUGUAUUUGUGUAGACGCUCUAUUGUUAAAAAGUGUACAAAAAGCUUUGGAAUAUCCCUGAUUAGUUAAUAGUUCUAGAAUGACCCGAUUAUUGCUUUAUUCGUAUUGUUAGAAUAAAAUAUAUAAGCUGACUUGAUUUCUAGAACAUUCACAAAGAUAUUAGAGCUUUUCGCGUCAAUAUUGAGAGAAAUUAUUUCUUUGAACAAAGCGUGAAAUUUACAGGAGUGCAUCAAUCUUCCAUAUUCUUCUAACCAAAAAACUGACGAAUUCUCAUUCAUAGUCUCAACAUAAGUUAGAAAUACUUGUUACCAAACAAUAGCGAUAAAUUGCCCGCGUGCAACCGAACUCUGGAUAUAAAACUUUCUUACAUAAAAUUCCAUUGAGUCGUGCCUUCUCCACUAAGUAGUCACUUCUAUUUUGGUUACUUACUCAGUAUUUGCAGGAUCCUCUUCAAGAUAUGUAGUUAGGUUUCCAUUUAAAUAGGGAUUGUAUAUUAUAUCGUUGGGUCGCUGUAUAUGAGCUCCAAAGAAUGUAUCAUUACAUGCAUCAAUUUUCAAAGGAAGAUACGGCGUAGGUGGUUUAGAUACUACAAAUGCUCCAAUGGCUAUCCAGAAAGUUAUUAAAUGUCCAAUUAUAAUUCCAAAUGCUGCACCCUGUGAACAAAUUUAUUAUACAUAAUCAAUUAUAUUACUACAAAGUUAUUUCUCUCAAUUUCAUUCAAUAUAUAUUAUUAUUCUGAUGGUAAUGUAUCAAAGGAUAAUUUUAAUUGGAAAAUUGUGUUGAAUAGUGAACUUAUCUUGUACUAACUUUAAAACUGAAUUUCAAUUGAAUUGACAAUUAAAUUUAUUUAGUGGUAGGAAGUAUUAUUCUUCAAUGGAUAAGUACCACUUUAUUGCAAACAAAAAAAAGAUUGAAAAGCACAUAAUUAACAAUAACCAAAGCGUCCAGAGGGGGAAGCCUGAAAUUUUCACCAGUGUUAAACUAAUUACUUUUGAUGUCGCAGAAAAGAAGCAAAAUGUAUCAAAAAAUCUGGGAUUGGACCAUGCAACUUCAAAGUAACCAAUUUCAAUCAUCUGGAUGUGAAGGUCGAUGGAAAAAACUAUGAUAAGACCGAAAUUACAGAUACAACACCAGUGGAGGAGAAAGAAUAGGUACUGAUGAGAGACUUAUAAGAGAGCUGUAAUACUGAAAUGAGAAUGUACAAAUUAGCGAUACGUCCAAUGUUGACCAAAAAAUUCGAGAAAAUUAUAAUGAAAGAAGACAUUGUAAAAUUAAUAAAAAACAUUAUUCAAAAUAACAGAUAAUGAAACUACCGAUAUUUUAAUAGAAAAACGUUGUUUCGAUUUCUCUGACUUUUCUUAUCUUGAAAGAGUCGUUUUAGCAACGAAAUAUAAUACAAUUACAUAAACAAGUACUGACAGAUAAUAUCAAUAAUUAGUUUCCUUCUAACACGGUACAUCACUUCAAAUUUAUUGAAAUGCUGAUCUCGAAUUUAAUAACACCUGGCAGUAUUCCAAGUUUUGCACCAAAUAAACGUAUUCGGACACAUGUACAGUAAAGCCCCAGAAAAAUUUUAUUACGAAAAAAAAAAUUAUUAUUUCAUUAUUAAUAAUGAAAUAGCUAUGGAAAUAUCAUAAGGCAUCAAGAAAAGUGAAUAUGGAAUAAACUGGAUAGUUUCAAAUUUAUAGACAAAUGAAAACACCCAAAUAAAUUUGAAUAAAGCUCUAGAUUGAAAAUUUUAUAGUCUUGGGUGUCUGCGGGUUAUCAAAGCAACAUGUCAAUAUGAAGUUAAAUCCACAAAAAAUGCAUUCGAAAUCUACUACCAAGACAAAAUCGAAAUGUUCUUUAAUAUAUAAUGGACUCUAUUCAUCAAUGCUAAAAAAACUUUCCAGAUAAAUAAUAGAUAAAUAAUUAUGAGUGAAUUCAGAUUUAUGGGAAUCAAAAUUUAGUAAACUAUUUUCCACUUCGAAAAGACAAAAGCAAGGAUCAAUUGGGUAAUGGGUGGUCAAGGACCAUUGCGUACAUUGACUCUCUGAUAGGUGAUAAAAAGCUUUGAAUCUUUUAACGUCACAAUGCAAACUGUAAGUUCUUGAAUCUUGCAAGUGUGAGUGCCGAGCACUCACCUAUAAUGUGAUCAUAAGCUUUUUUCUCCUCUAUGCAACAGCCACAUUCAUGAUUCGUGAUGUCCAUUGUAAGGACAUGAUGUCUGAGAUGACCGUGUCAUGCUAUGUGGCGCCUAACGAAUUUGAUGCCUCUUUGAGUUUCUUAGCUUAUCUUAUAUCAAGUGUUUCCAUCCAUAUUUGUCUACUUUGCGAGAAGACUACUAAGAGCAACACUUUUGGCUAACCAAGAAUGGGCUCUUGAAAUAUUGUUAGAUUUGCUCAACCCAAUUUGGUAAACAAAUAACGCUUGACAUUGCUCUUGUUGUCUGGGUGACUGAACGAGCUGGAUAUUGCAGUCAUCACACACUAGUUAUUGUAGGAUUUUCCACACUAGCACAAGAUUUGGGCAAACCGUUUUACCUGUUAUGGCUUGUACGGCAGCUCUACUGUCUCACUAGAUUACUGUGUUUCUAUGGAAGCGAUAGAGUCUCGCAGGUGCACAUUUCAUCACAGCGAAUACUCCAGCUUAGAAGACAUUAGAAUGUACUCAAAGAUGGUGUCCUCUACAGAAUUUUGCUCAGGCCAAGCCAUUCGUCUGUAUACCAGGUGGCUCCAUUAUUUAGUAUUGCAGGCCAAGAGUUACCCUCUGCUGUUCUCUGUCAUUAAUGUGUGCCUCCAAUCGCUUAUUGUUAACGGUUUCAGGCACCAUUUAGUUACUGCCCAUCAUAGUGCUUGAGAAUUUACCUGCAGCUUUCGUUUAGAUUUUCAAAUGUUUAAUACAGCUUGCAAGUCCGAGGUUAUAGUAUGCAAAACCUCGAAGAAAACUUUAGUUAGGAUAUUUUGCUUUUCCUAGCAUAUCCAAGAUAGAGACUAUUACAAGAAAAAUAAUAAACUCCCCACUCACCUAUUAUCCCGUGAAACACUACCUGGACCAAUACUACUCAUAACUUUAUUAAAUUACAGGAGGAUAAUUGAUGGAUAUAAAUAUCCAUUAUGCGAUAUUCAUUAUUUUGGAUUAUUUCUAAUAAUUUUUGAUAGCAUGUAGAAUUUGAUUUAUUACCACAUUUGUGAUUAUCUAAACUUACCUUUCCGUUAGCAACUGGCACCAGCAUUGCUAAAAGAAAUACACCUAGUAGAGGUCCAGAAGUAACCGAAGUCACCAACAUUGACGCUUCUAUCACACCAUCAAUCUUACUGACCAAAAAACUCAUCCCCAUUAUUAUCAACCCGUAGGCAACACUUAUGAAUUUGAUUGUCCAUAAUUGGUAGUAAUCUUUCAUUUUAUUCAAAGCUGGAAUUGGUUUCAAGAAAUCCUCGAAUGUUACAGUUGCUAAAGAAUUGACAAGAGACACAUUCAAACUAAAAAUUAAAAUGAUAUUGUCAGUUGUUUGUAGGUAUUAUUAUAUUAACUAUUCCAUUUAAUUAAUCAAUUUGAUAGACAUCAUCCUAAUCAAAUAGGAACUGUAGGUAUUGAAUACCAGAACUGAUUCUAGUCCCACAAAUUGUAAACAUGCAAGCAUAUCUCAGAUUUUUGCGCAGUUUGACAGUAGCAUGGUAUCUAACGAGUCGAAGUUAUCAGAUAGAUAAACAGGUUAAACUACAGUUUCUUGUGAAAGUGGGGGAAACUACCACAGAAAUUUAUAUAAUGUGAAAAAGGUCCUUCAAUUCGUAAAUUCAUUUUUUAACAUAUUAUACUAAAGAGUUCGUUAUAGUUAAAAAAAGUGCUUCUCGUACCACUAAAAAAAUUUUAUCGAAGUUGUUUUUUACCAUAUUUCAGAAAUCCUUGUGAACUUAACUCAUAUGCGAUCUACUCUUGGAAGCUGUUCUUAAUAAAAUAUUCAUAUUGCCUUUAAUGACGAAUUGAAUUUGUGCUUUGGAAUAAUGUUUGUAAAGUAUAUAUAUUUUGCAAUAAAAUUAUUUAAUACAAUAAA